GGGUCGAUGAUGAGAACCUUAUAUUAUCCUGAAGAGAGGUGAUGACUUAAAAUUCAUGCUCAAUAGGAUUACACUGAGGCUC
rnacentral:snoRNA from 1 species